ensembl:lncRNA
GGACAUGUACAUAAAUCUCUGCCGGGCUUCUAGCAUGCCCCUGUGGCUAUCACCCCUGCUGAAAGCUGCUGGGAGACUGAAGACCGACCGCGCCAGGCGUAAAUUGGCAUACAGGCUAAUACAGCGUCAGCUGGUUCUCCACAGAGUUGGCUGCACCGAUGAAAACUGCCGGCCAACGUACAUAUAUCCAGCCGAGCUAAAAGAGCUGAUUCGUGCCGCCUUCCCAGACAAAAUCCGCAAUUACCCCGACCCAUGUAAUGAAAAGAUAUAUGCAGUCACAUUGGAUGAUCUCCAUAAUGUGAGCCCUGCUAAUCAGAGUGGAUGCGCUGAGGUGGGCCAUUCCGUAUCAUGAGAUCUAAUCAUUUCUCAGAAUAUGCUAGCUUGUGUUGGUGAGACAGUCCAUGCAAAUGAUUAAAGAAAUGUACGAGGUAACCACUUUAUUGUAAUUGAACAGUUGCCAAGGUACUGGUGAGUGGAUUUCAAUACAGUGUCACAAGUGUUCGUGUGCUUAUACAUAUAUGAAUAAAUGAGAUUCAGCCGCUCGCCAUGUUAGCUAGUAGGCUAACUUAUUGUACAGGGCUAUAGCUAAUGCGAAUUAGUAUAUAUUUUCUUAGAGUGCAUAUCAUAAUGAUUUCAUUGCAACCCCGUAUCAAGGGGGCACACGUUGUUGUUUCCCCAGCCACACAAUUUGAAUUUCAUCAGCGGGUGAUUAUUGUAGUCCAAGUGUAUUUGCAGUUCUUAUACUUUAAACGCC